rnacentral:tRNA from 1 species
GGGAUUGUAGUUAAAUAUAACAUCUGGUCUGCAACCAAAAAGUACUAAAAUUAGUCUAUCUCA